rnacentral:rRNA from 1 species
GACGAACGCUGGCGGCGUGCUUAACACAUGCAAGUCGAACGGAAAGGCCUGCUUUCCCUUGUGGAUUGCGGGUACUCGAGUGGCGAACGGGUGAGUAACACGUGAGUGAUCUGCCCCCAACUUGGGUAUAAGCCUGGGAAACUGGGUCUAAUUCCCGAUAGGACUGCAGGGUGGUGCCUGUGGUGGAAAACGAUUUUCUAGUGGUUGGGGAUGAGCUCGCGGCCUAUCAGCUUGUUGGUGGGGUAAUGGCCUACCAAGGCGGCGACGGGUAGCCGGCCUGAGAGGGUGGACGGCCACAUUGGGACUGAGAUACGGCCCAGACUCCUAAGGGAGGCAGCAGUGGGGAAUAUUGCACAAUGGGCGGAAGCCUGAUGCAGCGACGCCGCGUGGGGGAUGACGGCCUUCGGGUUGUAAACUCCUUUCGACCGCGAGGAAGCCACCUGGUUGGAAGGGUGGUGACGGUAGUGGUAGAAGAAGCACCGGCUAACUACGUG